rnacentral:rRNA from 1 species
UGAGGAAUAUUGCACAAUGGGCGCAAGCCUGAUGCAGCGACGCCGCGUGGGUGAUGAAGGUCUUCGGAUCGUAAAGCCCUUUUCUGCGUGACGAGACAGGACGGUAGCGCAGGAAUAAGUCUCGGCUAACUACGUGCCAGCAGCCGCGGUAAAACGUAGGAGACGAACGUUAUCCGGAGUUACUGGGCGUAAAGGGCGUGUAGGCGGUUUGUUAAGUCUGGCGUGAAAGCUCUCGGCUAAACCGGGAGAGGUCGUUGGAUACUGGCGAACUAGAGGAUGGUAGAGGCGUGUGGAAUUCCGGGUGUAGUGGUGAAAUGCGUAGAGAUCCGGAGGAACACCAGUGGCGAAGGCGACACGCUGGGCCAUACCUGACGCUAAAGCGCGACAGCAUGGGGAGCAAACGGGAUUAGAUACCCUUGUAGUCCCUGAGCGGGCUGGCAAGGCGCAU